rnacentral:rRNA from 1 species
GACGAACGCUGGCGGCGUGCUUAACACAUGCAAGUCGAACGGUAAGGCCCUUCGGGGUACACGAGUGGCGAACGGGUGAGUAACACGUGGGUGAUCUGCCCUGCACUUCGGGAUAAGCCUGGGAAACUGGGUCUAAUACCGUGUAUGACCAUGCGCUUCACGGUGUGUGGUGGAAAGCUUUUGCGGUGUGGGAUGGGCCCGCGGCCUAUCAGCUUGUUGGUGGGGUAAUGGCCUACCAAGGCGACGACGGGUAGCCGGCCUGGGAGGGUGACCGGCCACACUGGGACUGAGAUACGGCCCAGACUCCUACGGGAGGCAGCAGUGGGGAAUAUUGCACAAUGGGCGCAAGCCUGAUGCAGCGACGCCGCGUGAGGGAUGACGGCCUUCGGGUUGUAAACCUCUUUCAGUAGGGACGAAGCGCAAGUGACGGUACCUACAGAAGAAGGACCGGCCAACUACGUGCCAGCCGCCGCCGUAA